ACGACUUCGAUCAAAUCCCGAUCUCUGUUUAAAAUCCUUAUAUUUCUUUACUUUGCUUAUUUACUUUCUUUCAAAAAUAUGAAAAUUAUGGAAACAUAAUAUACUAUUACAGUAGUGUCGGGUCGAUCUGCUCCCAAGAAAAGCCCUACGCCCUUAAAAGCGGACCGUUCGAUCUGCUUCAAACUGAGCUACUUUACUGGGAUGUGCUACGUGUCGCUCCGAUUUCGAUUUCUUUUCUGAAUCCAAAGACUGAAUGCUCCAAUUACUAUCAUGUGCUUCUACUUUAGUGGUAUUACAAAAAAUGCCACACAUAGCAACAUGUGCGACUCGCGUGAGCUAUGGGCUAAUGGGCCCCAAUUAAUUUUUCUAACAAUCUAUUUUCUUUCCUUUAUUCCUUGAAUAACUCUAAUGACACCCAAGUUUUCAAGAGUUGCUACUUUGGCAUACAAACACACAAACAACUAGGGGUGGGCAUUCGGGUACCCGUUCGGGUUCGGAUCGGAUAUUUCGAAUUUUCAGGUAUUUUGGUAUAGAGGUGUAAAAUCCGUUCGGGUAUUUCUAUAUUUCGGGUCGGGUUCGGGUAUUUUUAGUUCGGAUUCGGUUAUUUCGGAUCGGGUUCGGAUAUUUAGAUUUUGAAAAAAAAAAAAAUUUUAUUUCUCAAAUUUCUUGUAUUUAAAAAUAUAACUUUCAGUUAACUAA